rnacentral:rRNA from 1 species
GCCUCAGUAACGGCGAGUGAAGCGGCAAAAGCUCAAAUUUGAAAUCUGGCUCUUUUAGGGUCCGAGUUGUAAUUUGUAGAAGAUGUUUCGGGUGUGGCUCCGGUUUAAGUUCUUUGGAAUAUUACAUCAUAGAGGGUGAGAAUCCCGUAUGUGACCGGCAGCCUUCGCCUAUGUGAAACUCUUUCGACGAGUCGAGUUGUUUGGGAAUGCAGCUCAAAAUGGGAGGUAUAUUUCUUCUAAAGCUAAAUAUUGGCCAGAGACCGAUAGCGCACAAGUAGAGUGAUCGAAAGAUGAAAAGCACUUUGGAAAGAGAGUUAAACAGUACGUGAAAUUGUUGAAAGGGAAGCGCUUGCAACCAGACUUGCACGCAGUUGAUCAUCCGGUGUUCUCACCGGGGCACUCUGCUGCGUUCAGGCCAGCAUCGGUUUUGGUGGUUGGAUAAAGGCCUUGGGAAUGUGGCUUCCUUCGGGGAGUGUUAUAGCCCUCGGUGCAAUGCAGCCUACCGGGACCGAGGACCGCGCUUCGGCUAGGAUGCUGGCGUAAUGGUUGUAAGCGACCCGUCUUGAAACACGGACCAAGGAGUCUAACAUCUAUGCGAGUGUUUGGGUGUUAAACCCAUACGCGUAAUGAAAGUGAACGGAGGUGAGAACCCUUAAGGGUGCAUCAUCGACCGGUCCUGAUGUCUUCGGAUGGAUCUGAGUAAGAGCAUAGCUGUUGGGACCCGAAAGAUGGUGAACUAUGCGUGAAUAGGGUGAAGCCAGAGGAAACUCUGGUGGAGGCUCGCAGCGGUUCUGACGUGCAAAUCGAUCGUCAAAUUUGCGCAUAGGGGCGAAAGACUUAUCGAACCAUUGAACACCUACUAGGUGGUUAAGAGGCCUUAGUACGGCCUAGUCCUCACCGAGGGCGACAUUGUCAAAUUGUUCGGGGACCUCCUGAUAACUCUCAGACUACCGCAGCCCGCCCGAAAGGGGGGUGCGCACCGGGCUAACGACCCUGGGGAUGGUAACAACGUCUGGGUAGGGAAGAUCCGCAGCCAAGUCCUACCGCCCUCCGGGGCCACGGAUGCAGUUCACAGACUUGAAGGCAGUGGGCUCCCCCGGGAGCUUAAGAUAAAGUCGAACCCCCCGGAGACGGGGUGGAGGGAGGAGAGUGCGUCGCACUCAGAGUCCUUCAGGGCCCACGUCCCGAGCAG